CGAUCGCACUCGGCCAACCGCUCCGUCUCAAGCACGACCACCAACUGAUCUCUCCGGCGGCACGGAUCUUGGCUGGUAGCGUUGCCAACUCACCACGGUCUGCAUCUGCAGGCUGCCAACAUGUAACUGGUUUGCUGUUGCUCUCCGGCCAACUCUUAGUUGGCUCUCAUCUGGCUGGCUCCUUCUCGCGCGUCAGCUGAGCGCAACAGCCGGGAACAGCAAGAAAAACAACGCGCACACUGAGAGAAACGAGGCCCACACUCGGACUGACAGCACUUCCCCAUUUUGGCUGCCAGCAACCAGUUGCAUAUGAAAGUAAAAGUAAAGCAUGCACAUGCAGCGUAUAAUAAAUAUAUAUACACAAACUGCAUUUAAAUGCAUUGCAGACGGGCUGAGAGACCGCUGGAGAGAUACAUAUGCGACUAUAUGUUUAAUAUGUUUCAUACAAACAAAACAAACAAAAGGCGAGCCGGUGCGAAGACAGCCACACCGGUUGUGAAUGCAGACACCGCUCAGACAACUAUACCCAUAUUAUGUGCAUAUAAGUUCAUAUAUACGAUACAUAUAUAUAUAUACAUAUAUGGCCGCUAAUGAAAUGCGUUCAAAGAGGCCGAAACGAUACCCAGAUGCUGAUAAACAAGCUGAAAACCAAGCCAGGCUCAAGCUCAAAAAUAACCGAAACUUCAUUUCGAAGACAUGACAUCAUAUAUGUAUACGUAUGCUGCAUAAUCUUCUUGCUCGGGAUUUAAAUUGUUUAAACAGAAUUUCUUUGAAUAUUCGACUCGUGACUCAAAAGGUUUUGCUCAGGGAAUUUAUUUCUUUGGCCUUCAGAGAUUUUAUGGACACGUUCGUGUUUCGUUUAGAAAACAUAAAUUGAAAUUAGGGAUAAAAU
ensembl:ncRNA asRNA:CR45909 antisense RNA:CR45909